rnacentral:sRNA from 1 species
GUUAUGGUGUAGUUGAAUGGAAAGGUCGUCAAUAUUCU